AGCAACCCUUGGACUUCAUUAUAUCCUCUCUUCUGUCCAUAUGAAAGUAAAUUCCCACCCAGAAGACGACUAGCUUUUUCUUGUGUUACAGCUAAAAUCAGGUUUGCGUGCUCGCCACAUGCACCGGUUGCAGAAGGGAAGCUUUAUUGCGAGUGGAUCCCUGGUAUGAACUGGCACCACUAACUAUGAACUAACAUAGUCCAAGAGGGAAAGCUACAGCCGAGUUGGAGCAGAGCAGUUCCAAAGCACCUUUACUGGCAGCAAGAAGGAGCUGAGGGUUGGGGGAGUGCGCAGCGCCCCUUAUACCGCACCAGGGCGGCGCCUCUAGGGGCGCUCCCCAUGGAUACGGCUAAAGGAAGAACUUCUGGCACCGGUGCACAUGGCGAGCACGUACACCUAUUGUGGAAUGCACAUGAGCAAUCACUCGAAGAAGUUAUUGCAAUACUUAAAUGGAUGCUGAAGUGUCUCCAUUUAUUGUUUUGGUAUUGUGCAUUCUGGGCAGCAAGAACAGCCAUGAAAUCUGCAAAUUUCUUACAUACAUUGUAUUAACAAAACCCUGGAAGAGUUAAGCUUAACUUUUACACUCACUUGAUAUUAAACCUUAAAUUAAUUAAACUUCACAAUAUCUUCUGGAGGUAGGUCACUGUUAUCAGUUACCAAUUUACCAACAAGAAAAGCAAGACUCCAGAAAGUUAAAUGACUUAAGCAAAUCAGUGAGAAGAGACUCCAGAACAGGACCCCCGAGUUCUGACUCCCUGUACCCUGCGAUAGCCUCCCACACAACAUUGCUCUGCACCAUACCCUUACAACUUUUGUUCUACCAUGCUACACAACAUCAAUGGGAAAAGAUCAACACAUAAAAAACAACAACAACAGAUUAUUUUCCAAAUAAAAUGUGAAAAAAAAGUUUGGAAGAAGAAAUGUAACUCAAUGUUGUUACAUAAAAGGCAAAAGAAAUAAUCACCUAUGGAGUCCUGGAGUAGGUGGGUAAGUUUGCUGUUUCUAUACGGAAUGUGAGAGCGCUGCUCUGCUAUUGCUCCAAGUACAUCUGACAGAGCUGAUAAGCUACGGUUAAUGAACGAGGUCUCUCGCAGGGCUACUCCUGUCACUCCAGACAUACCUAAUGCAACAAGGAAACAAC